UUUCACCUACCCUCUCUCCAAUCCUUCCAAGAAACUCACAAAGCAGGGCUUUUUCUUGAACUUCUCUUCCUCACAACAGUUAAAUCAUCCAUUUAAAGAUGUCAAACAACCUCCGUGUUCUAAGAACUAUUUACUGAGCUCUACGGAGACACAGCUACAAGCACCACAUGCUGGACCCCUGAAUAUGGAGGGCCAACUACACUAGAAACACACACGCUAGCUGAGAAAGAUGGUGGCUUAAGGAGAUCACCAGUUUGUAGUAGAGGCCCACUCUCGGAAGGUUUGGUAAAAAGUUGUUUUGAAUCAUAAUGUUGGCUUUAUUGGCAUGUUGAAACCAUUUACCUCUGUAAUUUUCCAUUUGUUUUCCUUUCCAACUACCACUCCUCCUGCCUGAUAAAUAAAUACCAUUGCAAGAUUA
ensembl:lncRNA LINC00472 long intergenic non-protein coding RNA 472